GUGGCGGAAUAGGUCAGUGCAUCUGGCUGAUAACCAGAAGGUUGGUGGUUCAAGCCCACUCAGGUACA